CGCCAAUAAAAUGUAAGAUGAAGAAGAAAGGCAACGCAACUACUGCGGUACGUUUUGAGUUGGCCUGCCUACUUACUAUAUCCUGGAAACGACUUUUUUUUCUUGCUAUAUGUAAGACAUAGGCUACACUGUAGCCAAUAUGUUCCUGUCCGUAAAGUGGCCGGUUUAGAUUGUUGUAGCAUAUAUUUUUGCAGUGAAACCAUAUUCAACUAAAUUUAAAGACGUUGGAUGUUUAUUUUAUUGUUUGACUUUACAUAAGGCGUCUGAAAAAAAUGAAAGUGUAUUUCGUCGUGUGUGUGCUGAGCACGGUGGUAGUUUCUUGUUCGGGAGAAAAUAGUCGCUUCGAGAAGUCAUUCAACUAUUCCCCGGGAAUGAUGCAAGUCCUCCGGGAGACGCUCACGGAUUUGUCCGAGGAGGCGCACGGUUACCUGGUCCACCUUCUCGGGGCAAGGUCCGUUGAAAAUGCACAGAAGUGUUUCUUUCAGGUGGUCAAGAAUCUGGCUGAGGCAGCGGCCAGUGGAGCGAAUGUGGUUAUGAAGUACCUCGCCCAGUUCCUGAUGGCAGCAGGAAUUGAUGACACACAACACAAAACCGGAUGAAAGUCUGACCUGCCAAGGGAGCCCGUUACCCACUGACAGACAUGCCCUGGAUUAGUUGAAAUGCCUGUUAACAGUAUCACCCCAGAUGCUGUAGUCUAUAUCGGUCAGUGGCUUCUGCUGGCUCUCAUUGGCUACUGGCUGCUGUCCCUGGCCUUCCGAUUGGUGGCGUCCACUCUGAGGCGGGUCCUGUGGCUACUGAAGCUGGGUGUGGUUUUAGGACUGUUUUGCCUGAUCCUAAGUGACAGCAGUGCUGGAACGGAGACUACGGCGCUGCGAUUGGCCGGCCUGGUGAGCGUCUGCGUCCUAUUGGGUAUCGGGCAUUCUGGCACCGGGGGCGACAACACCUACCUGGAGGAUCAAGUGAGGGUGCUAGAGAGACGAGUGAGAGAAAUGGAGAGGAGGAAAGAGAAGUGAGGGGUGGAUGGAUGGGAACUGAAAGGCCUUGUUUUGUACAUUAACCUAGGUCUAGGAUCGUAACAAGGACGUUGUACAUAAAGUUUUGUUAAAAAAAAAAUAAAGUAUUGUUUUACAUAAUGAAGCACUUUGCCUUUUUCAUAAAGAUCUUAGUUAAUGUGUGUGAGAAACAGAAUUGACAGCAAAUAUGAUUAGCUUGUUUUAAAGGAAACAGACGGACAGAGUAUUGUGUUUUCUGUUUAUUGGAGGUGGACAUAUGCAUGUCCUACAAUAAAUGCUUUUGAUAUUCGCAGAAUAGAAACACUAAACAUUCCAUAAGGUCUCAUGAUACGUCAUUGGAAAUCAUAUUUUCUUCAUGUCUACACGGAUCACCUUUCAUUCUCACGCCUUUCCAGUUAUGGCAGCAUACAACACAAACAAGUUCUCAAAUAAAACAAAACAGAUGCAUACUUCCCAUUACCUACAUUUGAGAUCUGUCCAUUCCUUAAAGCGUGUUGGGUGUAGGGGGAUGAGACAGUUGGUGAGAAAAGCAGUUUUGGGAAGAACGUUUUAAAAGUAACUACAAAGGUUUAAGCGUAAUCAAGAGGCCUUCUCAUUUGCCCUUCUCCAAUUGAGAUUUUUCCUUGACCAACUAGGGCCAGGAGUUUACUGUUCUGGUUACAUGGUCUGGAAAUGACCUCUCCCUGAAUAUAAUCAUGUAAAAUACAUUUCUCACCCCCUGACCUGACCAGGGGUACAUUCAUUAGGAACCUAACGGAAGCAACCAGGUAGGGGACUAACUGAAUUUGUCCCAAAAAGUUGUUACUGUUUGCUUCAUUGUGCACUUAUGAAUACAUCCCAGGACAAGAAGGCACUGGAUGCGUUUGUGUGAUAAGGCUUAAGCAAACGACUAGAUGAAAUUCGAGGAGUGAAAUCGGGUGAGGAGCAACUGCGACAGCCAAAAGUUUGGGCACGUGGUUUUGCACCAAAUCUCAGACGAACAUAGCAGUGUUGCCAUUGUUAUGAAAGUAUUUCUUUGUAACGUUAAAAUAAUCAUGCAGUUGACAUGUAGGCACAAGUGGGAUCAUUUUUAUCCCCAUAAUGCAUCACACUUUGAAAGGUGGUGGCCACUGACUUGACAAAAGUGAUCCGCUCGAACUGUCUGUAAAACCUUCAGGAGUGCUUCAUUAUUUAAGAGACAAAUAGGAUAUUUAAAUACCAAAAUGAGCCUUUUAAACCAAGAUAUGUUGCAAAUGGCACCCUAUAGUACACUACUUUUGAGGGGGAUGCAGAUUAUGUAUAACAUCUUAAUAAAAUAGCGCCCUCCCAGUGUAUUAAUAAGUUAUUUAACUCUACAUACCCACCCUGUUGAAAUGACAGCAGUUUCAUAUGUAGAACUAAAAUGAUACCAUGCAUAAUGAAAAACGGCUAUACUUUGGGAAGUAAAGGCAUUUGAUUGUAUUUGUAUAUAUGUAUAUAUAUAUAUAUAUAUGUAUAUAUAUGUGUAUAAGUGUGUAUAUGUGUGUAUAUGUAUACACACACACAUACACUUUAAAUAUACACAACAGGAAGUGGCUACCUGACUGGCAGAGAGCUUUACUUGGUCUACCGAGUGGAUGAUGCGUUGUCCUAGCAUCUUCUGAUUGUAUGAUUAGGAGUGAUGUGGGUUCUGAUUGGAUUAUGAUACACUUAGAAAAAACCAUUUCCAAAAAGGUUCUUCGGCUGUCCCUAUUUUUGGUUCCAGUAGAACCCUGAAAGGCAGUUAUCGGUUGUGUUCCUCUCCUCAGACAUUGCUGACGAAUGCCAGAUCUUACAACUCUUGGAUAGCUAUUUUACGUAUCAGCUAACCACAUGUUAGACUGUGCACGACAGCACAGCCGAUGACGUGGCACGCAACCAUUGGUUGAUGCAUGCAGCGCCGCCGCAGGGGAACAUGACCAGAGUGUUUGAUAGAUGCCAUACAUUAAAUUGGUGGAAGCCCUCAAUGGCACUGCCCAUGCCAAUACUGCCUUUUGGCCACUAGAGGUCUCUAUCAUUCUAUGGGCUACAUUCCAAUUAUCUUGUACACUCCCCUUCUAAAAAUAAAUCGACUGGGAAUAUGGUGGAAACUUCCUCAAGAUAUUUUUUGCACCAAUCCAAUGCAUGAGAGGGAGUGGAUCAGUGCACACUUCUGGAGAAGGGUAGGGAUCGUGGCCUCUGAUUCAGUUUGACAUGUUUUCCCCCCCGCCCAGACAUUUUGACUGACUUCAUCACAGCUAUACAGGAAAUAGUCCUUUUAAAUUAUC